GGCUUUCUAGUCUCAGCUCUCC
rnacentral:miRNA from 1 species